UACGAAGGGGGCUAGCGUUGCUCGGAAUCACUGGGCGUAAAGCGCACGUAGGCGGAUCGUUAAGUCGGAGGUGAAAUCCUGGAGCUCAACUCCAGAACUGCCUUCGAUACUGGCGAUCUUGGAGUCCGGGAGAGGUGAGUGGAACUCCGAGUGUAGAGGUGAAAUUCGUAGAUAUUCGGAAGAAACACCAGUGGCGAGGCGGCUCACUGGCCCGGUACUGGACGCUGA
rnacentral:rRNA from 1 species